rnacentral:rRNA from 1 species
AGGAUGUUGGCUUAGAAGCAGCCAUCAUUUAAAGAGUGCGUAAUAGCUCACUAGUCGAGUGACACUGCGCCGAAAAUGUACCGGGGCUAAACAUAUUACCGAAGCUGUGGAUUGUCCGUAGGACAAUGGUAGGAGAGCGUUCUAAGGGCGUUGAAGCAUGAUUGCAAGGACAUGUGGAGCGCUUAGAAGUGAGAAUGCCGGUGUGAGUAGCGAAAGACGGGUGAGAAUCCCGUCCACCGAUUGACUAAGGUUUCCAGAGGAAGGCUCGUCCGCUCUGGGUUAGUCGGGUCCUAAGCUGAGGCCGACAGGCGUAGGCGAUGGAUAA